rnacentral:rRNA from 1 species
UACGUAGGGUGCAAGCGUUGUCCGGAAUUAUUGGGCGUAAAGAGCUCGUAGGCGGCUUGUCACGUCGACUGUGAAAACCCGGGGCUCAACUCCGGGCCUGCAGUCGAUACGGGCUGGCUUGAGUGCGGUAGGGGGAGACUGGAAUUCCUGGUGUAGCGGUGAAAUGCGCAGAUAUCAGGAGGAACACCGGUGGCGAAGGCGGGUCUCUGGGCAGUAACUGACGCUGAGGAGCGAAAGCGUGGGGAGCGAACAGG